AACAUCGCCUUUUGUAAAUUAUAAAAGGUCUAGCCUGCCCAGUGACUUGUUCAACGGCCGCGGUAUCCUAACCGUGCGAAGGUAGCGUAAUCACUUGUCUUUUAAAUAAAGUCUAGUAUGAAAGGCUCUACGAAGAUCCAACUGUCUCCUUUUUUUCAUCUGUGAAACUAAUCUCCCCGUGAAGAAGCGGGGAUUCUUAUAUAAGACGAGAAGACCCUAUGGAGCUUCAAACUUCUGACCACCUGCACUCUAAGUUUAACCUUUAAGCACUUUUGACUCACAAGUUUUAGGUUGGGGUGACCCAGGAGAACAACUUAUCCUCCUGGCUGAUACGAUUUAUCUUAGCAAAAAGCUACAGCUUUAAGCACCAAAAUAUUGACCUAAUUGACCCAGUUUUCUGAUCAACGAACCAAGUUACCCUAGGGAUAACAGCGCAAUCUUCUUCAAGAGCCCCUAUCGACAAGAAGGUUUACGACCUCGAUGUUGGAUCAGGGUAUCCUAGUGGUGCAGCCUCUACUAAAGGUUCGUUUGUUCAACGAUUAAAACCCUACGUGAUC
rnacentral:rRNA from 1 species